UACGUAGGCAGCGAGCGUUGUUCGGAGUUACUGGGCGUAAAGAGUGCGUAGGCGGUUUUCUAAGUUUGGUGUGAAAUCCUCCCGGCUUAACUGGGAGGGUGCGCCGAAAACUGGAAGGCUUGAGUAUGGGAGAGGUAAGCGGAAUUCCUGGUGUAGCGGUGAAAUGCGUAGAUAUCAGGAGGAACACCUGCGGUGUAGACGGCUUACUGGACCAUAACUGACGCUGAGACACGAAAGCGUGGGUAGCAAACAGG
rnacentral:rRNA from 1 species